UCUCCGUAGGUGAACCUGCGGAGGGAUCAUUACAAGUGACCCCGGUCUUACCACCGGGAUGUUCAUAACCCUUUGUCGUCCGACUCUGUUGCCUCCGGGGCGACCCUGCCUUCGGGCGGGAGCUCCGGGUGGACACUUCAAACUCUUGCGUAACUUUGCAGUCUGAGUAAACUUAAUUAAUAAAUUAAAACUUUUAACAACGGAUCUCUUGGUUCUG
rnacentral:misc_RNA from 1 species